GGCGGUAAAAUGAACUUUGUUAUGAAAAUAUUGUAGUGAAAUAAAAAAAAAAUUCAACCUUUAGGUUAGGUUCGGUAACCGAAUACGCACUUUUUUAUAAGCAAAUUA